rnacentral:lncRNA from 1 species
CAACUUGCAUGCAAUUUUUCAUGCAUGCAUGGCUUGAUUUUUGUUUAAUUUGAACUUCAAACAUGUUCUAUUAGAUGCAAGCUAUCUUUAGAGCAUUUUGUUCUAUUAAUGCUCACUAAAGUAUCAGUUUGAUCACGUAUUGGGGUCGCAGUCACCGAAAAACCCUAUAGGUUUUUACGAUUUCCAACACCGAUUGGCUGUGAAAUGCUCUUCUCUCGAUGGUAGGCCCUUCAAUGGUAAUCUCUGCCUCUCUUUCUCCCAUUUUCCUCCAUCCCUUGGCCAGGAAUAGUGGACAUUGGCCUCCCUUCUCUUCUUCUUUUCUUCUUUUUUUCUUAUGUUCUUUUUUUCUUCCCUUUCAGAUUGGGCUAGGUUGGGUGGCCUAGAUGGGUUUUUAAACCCACCACUCAAUGAAUCUGGACCACACAAACCUCGCACACGUGGCCGCAUGUGGUCCCUUGGAUGUACCUUCAUUAAUGGCAAAAUCAUAAUUUUGCAAUCUUAUUCCCUCAACUACUAGAUCACAAUUCCCCUUUAGAUUUGAACCAUUCAAUUGCUUGACAGUUUGAUCACCUCAAAAUGCAUGCAGACCACCUGAUCGCAUCUCGCACGUGGACCGUUAGAUCAAAAUCAUUUCCCUUGCAAGUCUGUAAACCGUUCAAUUCGAUUACAGCGAUCUCACCGUUGGAUUUGCCUAAAACACCCAAGACCGUCCAAUCUGCUUACCAUUGGUGUCUGCAUGGAUGACCACAUGUGUGGGUCAAACGCAACACGACUUUCUUUGAUUGGGCGGUUGCCACGUCACCAGCCCAGGUGGCCCAUUUUCAAAAAAUUAUAAAAUGGCCCAGAAUUCAAGUUUUCUUUAUAUUUUGGUGCCUAAAUCAAUUUUUAAAUUUACAAAGACCCCAAAUAAUUUUUUUUUAAUUUAGUCCGUAAUUUUAUUUUUAGUAUAUUUAGGGGUAAAUUUUAAUUUUAUUUUUUAUACAUGAUUUAAUUUAUAUAGAAACAAAUUAAUUAAAUUUAAAUAUGUAAAUUAACACUUAAAAUUUACAUGCGGUGUUACAAAUUCUUCCCUCCUAAAAAUAAUUUGGUCCCCCAAAUUACAUAAUUUAAAAUAAGUGAGGAUACAUUUCUCGUAUAGAAUCUUCAUUCUCCUAAGUAACUUCAUUCUAGGAGUGGUGUUGCCAAAGUACUUUCACCAUGGGAAUGGUCCUGUUCCUGAGUACUUGGUCUUGCUUGUCAAGAAUGACCACUGGUACCUCCCCAAAAGUUAGGUUCUCUUC